ensembl:lncRNA
UCAGAUCAUUUUUUAAAUGAAAGGAUAUUUUCCUUGCGGUGCUGCUGUCCUGAGGGCAUUCUCUCGGGGUACCAGGUGCCUGAUGACCAUCCUGGGUGCUGGAGGAGACAGUUUGCUGUUUCCACUGGGAGAGGUUUGGAGAGAAGGUACCUGCUAGGCCCCUUGGGGGAGGGGGAUGCAAGAAGAGGAGGGGUCAGAGCAGCCUGGCCAUGGCUGCUGCUCAAAGCCCACGUGGAGGUUGAAUUCCUGAGUGAGUCAUCUCAGUGACCCCAGACAUGCUGAGAAAACAUCUGACCCCCAAGGAGCCUUUUACUCUGAACCUGUGACCCCGGCCAGGUUCCCAGUGAUGCUGGAGGUUAUCUCGGUCCCACAGUGAUCCCAGGGGUCUUCUCCAACUACUGGACGUGAGAGAUUCCUGACAGCGAGAAGAAAGAUUAGAAGGUCAGGAGUCCGGGCGGAGAGAUGGAAGAGGAGAUGUGACAUAGACGCAUGCUGACAUGGAGAUGGGCAGUGACUGCAGAGGACAUCGGGACAGGAUGUGGGGGAAUUAACACGGGGACCACGCACAUCCUUCAAAGUCCUGGGUGGCUCAAGCCUGGCUUAGCUGUGAGGGCAGACUCGGAUGAGAGAGAAGGAAAGCAAAUGACAGCACUUAACAGCCUUGACCAAGACAACUGGAGCACAGGAAACGGGGGAUAGAGUCAGGAUCGCAGCAGAGGGACACAUGGAAAUGGCGCUAGGAAUGUUAUCAAUGAUUCACAGAAAAGACUAGAACAACAGGCUGGAAAAAAUGUACAUGAAGAGGCAGGUGAACAUUAUAAAACCGUGGAGGGACCGAGGAGGAGAUGUGAUCUCAUUAAGUAAAAACAUAACUUAGAGGUUACAGACUGCCUGACAGAACAGUGUGGAUUGGGUGAUAAUCCAAUAAACUGGGAGUUUUUACCUAAAUGUGUAGAGUUUUUUUUUUUUUUACAUCUUUUGAUACAUUUUCCAGGUCUUGCACAGAGGGCCUUGCAGCCCCAUAUGACAAACAUGAGCAGGUACAGAGCCCAGGCUGUCACCGAGGGAUGGUCCCCCUUUUCUUCUCGGGCCUCCUCACUGGCAGUCUAAGCGGGUAUUGCACCGAGGUGCCCAGGCCCGUGAUGUUGGUUUAAAUACAAAAUUUCAGUCUGGGGACUUUACUGGUGGUCCAGUGGUUAAGGCUCUCGACUUUCACUGCAGGGAGCACUGGUUUGAGGCCUGGUCAGGGAACUAAGAUCCCACAUGCCACAUGGCCAAAACAAACAAAUGGAGUAGAUGUAUGUAUGUGCAUAACUGACUCUACAUACAAGUGAAACUAACACACACUGUACAUCAACUAUACUCCAAUAAAGAUUUAAAAAGAUCAGCAUAUGCUCAUUUAAAGAAAAAGUCUGGGUAUAAGACCACAGGUGGAGACUAUAGGCCGGGCUGCAGGCUGACCCACCUUCCGCCUGCACCUGGGCAGGUGGUGAGCUCAUUGCGGGGUGGGGAGGUGUGGGAAUCAGGCUGCUCCCAGCAUGGCAGCUCCAGCCCAGGGGUGGUGGGAGGGAAGCAGCAUGGGAGUCAUCGCCAUGGGUGCAAAUAAAAGUCUCACUCCAUGCCUUCCUCCUCUUGACUCACUGCCUCCUUAUGAAUGAGUGGCCGUGAG